ACACUGACUCCCUCAUUUUAUUGGUUGUAUGUUAUUGUCUCCAGGUCCCCUAGACCUUAGUGGGGACGUAACACAAAUUGGGGAUCGU